UGAAUAGAUGACUGGAUGUCUAACACAUA
rnacentral:piRNA from 1 species